rnacentral:rRNA from 1 species
AUUGAGCGCUGGCGGCAUGCCUUACACAUGCAAGUCGAACGGUAACAGGUCUUCGGAUGCUGACGAGUGGCGAACGGGUGAGUAAUACAUCGGAACGUGCCUAGUAGUGGGGGAUAACUACUCGAAAGAGUGGCUAAUACCGCAUGAGAGCUACGGAUGAAAGCAGGGGAUCGCAAGACAUUGUGCUACUAGGAAGGCCGUUGGCAGACAAGGGCAGUGGGGGGAGAAAAGCUUACCAAGCCGACGAUCUGUAGCUGGUCUGAGAAGACGAUCAGCCACACUGGGACUGAGAAACGGCCCAGACUCCUACGGGAGGCAGCAGUGGGGAAUUUUGGACAAUGGGCGCAAGCCUGAUCCAGCAAUGCCGCGUGCAGGAUGAAGGCCUUCGGGUUGUAAACUGCUUUUGUACGGAACGAAAAGCCCCGGGUUAAUACCCUGGGGUCAUGACGGUACCGUAAGAAUAAGCACCGGCUAACUACGUGCCAGCAGCCGCAGUAA